rnacentral:rRNA from 1 species
AUUAGCUGGUUGGUGAGGUAAUGGCUCACCAAGGCGACGAUCCGUAGCUGGUCUGAGAGGAUGAUCAGCCACAUCGGGACUGAGACACGGCCCGAACUCCUACGGGAGGCAGCAGUGGGGAAUAUUGGACAAUGGGCGCAAGCCUGAUCCAGCCAUGCCGCGUGUGUGAAGAAGGCCUUCGGGUUGUAAAGCACUUUCAGUGGGGAAGAAAUCCUCGGGGCUAAUACCCUCGAGGGAGGACAUCACCCACAGAAGAAGCACCGGCUAACUCCGUGCCAGCAGCCGCGGUAAUACGGAGGGUGCGAGCGUUAAUCGGAAUUACUGGGCGUAAAGCGCGCGUAGGCGGCCUGAUAAGCCGGUUGUGAAAGCCCCGGGCUCAACCUGGGAACGGCAUCCGGAACUGUCAGGCUAGAGUGCAGGAGAGGAAGGUAGAAUUCCCGGUGUAGCGGUGAAAUGCGUAGAGAUCGGGAGGAAUACCAGUGGCGAAGGCGGCCUUCUGGACUGACACUGACGCUGAGGUGCGAAAGCGUGGGUAGCAAACAGGAUUAGAUACCCUGGUAGUCCACGCCGUAAACGAUGUCGACUAGCCGUUGGGGUCCUUGAGACCUUUGUGGCGCAGUUAACGCGAUAAGUCGACCGCCUGGGGAGUACGGCCGCAAGGUUAAAACUCAAAUGAAUUGACGGGGGCCCGCACAAGCGGUGGAGCAUGUGGUUUAAUUCGAUGCAACGCGAAGAACCUUACCUACCCUUGACAUCGAGAGAACUUGGCAGAGAUGCCUUGGUGCCUUCGGGAACUCUCAGACAGGUGCUGCAUGGCCGUCGUCAGCUCGUGUUGUGAAAUGUUGGGUUAAGUCCCGUAACGAGCGCAACCCUUGUCCCUAUUUGCCAGCGAUUCGGUCGGGAACUCUAGGGAGACUGCCGGUGACAAACCGGAGGAAGGUGGGGACGACGUCAGGUCAUCAUGGCCCUUACGGGUAGGGCUACACACGUGCUACAAUGGCCGGUACAAAGGGUUGCGAAGCCGCGAGGUGGAGCCAAUCCCGAAAAGCCGGUCUCAGUCCGGAUCGGAGUCUGCAACUCGACUCCGUGAAGUCGGAAUCGCUAGUAAUCGUGAAUCAGAAUGUCACGGUGAAUACGUUCCCGGGCCUUGUACACACCUCCCGU